CAAAGCUAGGAAAAUGAAUUGACAAAACAAGAUCCAGUACGAGUCGAUGGACAUAAAAUGGACUAAUAUUAUGAGAAAUAAACUAAACAAUCUGAUGUAAAGAUUUAUAAGAUUCAGAUGAAUCCCAUCCAGAUGAACAACUAGAAUGUUUU